rnacentral:tRNA from 1 species
GAUGUUAUAGCUCAGUUGGCUAGAGCACCUGCCUGUUACGCAGGGGUCCUGGGUUCGAGUCCUAGUAACAUCG